rnacentral:rRNA from 1 species
UACGUAGGUGGCAAGCGUUGUCCGGAAUUAUUGGGCGUAAAGCGCGCGCAGGCGGCUUUCUAAGUCCAUCUUAAAAGUGCGGGGCUUAACCCCGUGAUGGGAUGGAAACUGGAAAGCUGGAGUAUCGGAGAGGAAAGUGGAAUUCCUAGUGUAGCGAUGAAAUGCGUAGAGAUUAGGAAGAACACCGGUGGCGAAGGCGACUUUCUGGACGACAACUGACGCUGAGGCGCGAAAGCGUGGGGAGCAAACAGG